rnacentral:ncRNA from 2 species
CUCUUAUUAAGAGUGGUGGAGAGUGAAGGCUCUGUGAAACCACGGCAACCCCCAUCAGUGGAAGGUGCCAAUCUGAGCGAGAAAUCGAACAAUAAGAG